UAGUCCACGCUGUAAACGAUGAAUGCUAGACGUCGCGGGAUUUGACCCCUGCGGUGUCGCAGUUAACGCAUUAAGCAUUCCGCCUGGGGAGUACGGUCGCAAGAUUAAAACUCAAAGGAAUUGACGGGGACCCGCACAAGCGGUGGAGCAUGUGGUUUAAUUCGACGCAACGCGCAAAACCUUACCUGGGUUUAAACUGCAGUAGACAAACAUAGAGAUAUGUCUUUCCUUCGGGACUGCUGUAGAGGUGCUGCAUGGCUGUCGUCAGCUCGUGUCGUGAGAUGUUGGGUUAAGUCCCGCAACGAGCGCAACCCUUGCCGAUAGUUGCCAGCAUUAAGUUGGGCACUCUAUUGGGACUGCCGGUGUUAAACCGGAGGAAGGUGGGAAUGACGUCAAGUCCUCAUGGCCCUACGCCCAGGGCUACACACGUGCUACAAUGGAAGGUACAAAGAGUCGCGAGACCGCGAGGUGGAGCUAAUCUCAAAAACCUUCCUCAGUUCGGAUUGUAGU
rnacentral:rRNA from 1 species